GCAGAUUGAAAUCUCGCCUGGUUGGCAUUCAGUACCCUGCAGUCGGUGACCCCCUGCCUGGCGUCACUCACACCGUUGCCACCACUGAACUAAACCAGUCAGCCUCAUCUGAGAUAACCGGCGCUCCAUGUACAAAGCUUUAAUAAAGACUUAUUUUGUAGUCGCUCACAGAAGAACCUUCAGAGAAGGGACAAAAUAAGAAAUCCACUGUAGCAGUUCUGCAAACACCCAAUUUUACCUUUACCCAUAGCUGUAAGAUCUCUAUUGUUCUAAUUAGUGUUCAAAUUUAAGACUACUUCUUUACAACUCUGGUGCAGAAAGAAGUGUCAAAUUUCCAGAACAUGAAGAAUUUUAACGUCUGGUUGUGAAACGGCAUAAGUAAAAGGCAUGGCCACCAACUCAGGGAACAACCUAAGAACUGCACUGGCUUCUACCUAAGAUUAGCUAUAUUAUUUUGCUUAAACCAAGAAUUACUGAUCUCAGAAUUGAUCCCAUUUCAAUUGUAAUCUAGAACUCUCAUUAGCGGAAUCUCAUGACGAUCCAAUGCAUGUAUA